GGUCAAGCGAACAAGUGCAUGUGGUGGAUGCCUUGGCGAUCACAGGCGAUGAAGGACGCGGUAGCCUGCGAAAAGCCCCGGGGAGCUGGCAAACAAGCUUUGAUCCGGGGAUGUCCGAAUGGGGAAACCCACUCCUUUUGGAGUAUCCAUGGCUGAAUACAUAGGCCAUGAGAAGCGAACGCGGUGAACUGAAACAUCUAAGUAACCGCAGGAAAAGAAAUCAACCGAGAUUCCCAAAGUAGUGGCGAGCGAAAUGGGAUGAGCCUUGCACUCUUUAUUUGUAUUGUUAGCCGAACGCUCUGGAAAGUGCGGCCAUAGCAGGUGAUAGCCCUGUAGGCGAAAACAGUAUGAAAGAACUAGGUGUGCGACAAGUAGGGCGGGACACGUGAAAUCCUGUCUGAAGAUGGGGGGACCAUCCUCCAAGGCUAAAUACUCGUGAUCGACCGAUAGUGAACCAGUACCGUGAGGGAAAGGCGAAAAGAACCCCGGGAGGAGUGAAAUAGAUCCUGAAACCGCAUGCAUACAAACAGUCGGAGCCUCGUAAGGGGUGACGGCGUACCUUUUGUAUAAUGGGUCAGCGACUUACGUUCAGUAGCAAGCUUAACCGUAUAGGGCAGGCGUAGCGAAAGCGAGUCCGAAUAGGGCGUUCAGUUGCUGGGCGUAGACCCGAAACCAAGUGAUCUAUCCAUGGCCAGGAUGAAGGUGCGGUAACACGUACUGGAGGUCCGAACCCACUAACGUUGAAAAGUUAGGGGAUGAGCUGUGGAUAGGGGUGAAAGGCUAAACAAACUUGGAAAUAGCUGGUUCUCUCCGAAAACUAUUUAGGUAGUGCCUCGUGUCUCACCUUCGGGGUAGAGCACUGUCAUGGUUGGGGGGUCUAUUGCAGAUUACCCCGCCAUAGCAAACUCCGAAUACCGAAGAGUGCAAUCACGGGAGACAGACAUCGGGUGCUAACGUCCGGUGUCAAGAGGGAAACAACCCAGACCGCCAGCUAAGGUCCCCAAAUAUAGCUAAGUGGGAAACGAAGUGGGAAGGCUAAAACAGUCAGGAGGUUGGCUUAGAAGCAGCCACCCUUUAAAGAAAGCGUAAUAGCUCACUGAUCGAGUCGUCCUGCGCGGAAGAUGUAACGGGGCUAAGCUAUAUACCGAAGCUGCGGAUGCGUGCUUUGCACGCAUGGUAGGAGAGCGUUCCGUAAGCCUGCGAAGGUGCGUUGAAAAGCGUGCUGGAGGUAUCGGAAGUGCGAAUGCUGACAUGAGUAGCGAUAAAGGGGGUGAAAGGCCCCCUCGCCGUAAGCCCAAGGUUUCCUACGCAACGUUCAUCGGCGUAGGGUGAGUCGGCCCCUAAGGCGAGGCAGAAAUGCGUAGCUGAUGGGAAGCAGGUCAAUAUUCCUGCACCAUUGUUAGAUGCGAUGGGGGGACGGAUCGCGGAAGGUUGUCCGGGUGUUGGAAGUCCCGGUCGCUGCAUUGGAGAAGGCGCUUAGGCAAAUCCGGGCGCGCAAUUCAAGGGUGUGGCGCGAGCUCCUUAGGGAGCGAAGCAAUUGGAAGUGGUUCCAAGAAAAGCCUCUAAGCUUCAGUCUAACGAUGACCGUACCGCAAACCGACACAGGUGGGCGAGAUGAGUAUUCUAAGGCGCUUGAGAGAACUCGGGAGAAGGAACUCGGCAAAUUGGUACCGUAACUUCGGGAUAAGGUACGCCCUUGUAGCUUGACUGGCCUGCGCCAGGAGGGUGAAGGGGUUGCAAUAAACUGGUGGCUGCGACUGUUUAAUAAAACACAGCACUCUGCAAACACGAAAGUGGACGUAUAGGGUGUGACGCCUGCCCGGUGCCGGAAGAUUAAAUGAUGGGGUGCAAGCUCUUGAUUGAAGUCCCGGUAAACGGCGGCCGUAACUAUAACGGUCCUAAGGUAGCGAAAUUCCUUGUCGGGUAAGUUCCGACCUGCACGAAUGGCGUAACGAUGGCCACACUGUCUCCUCCCGAGACUCAGCGAAGUUGAAGUGUUUGUGAUGAUGCAAUCUACCCGCGGCUAGACGGAAAGACCCCAUGAACCUUUACUGUAGCUUUGCAUUGGACUUUGAACCGAUCUGUGUAGGAUAGGUGGGAGGCUAUGAAACCGGAACGCUAGUUUCGGUGGAGCCGUCCUUGAAAUACCACCGUUUGUUUGAGGUUCUAACCUUGGCCCGUGAUCCGGGUCGGGGACAGUGCAUGGUAGGCAGUUUGACUGGGGCGGUCUCCUCCCAAAGCGUAACGGAGGAGUACGAAGGUACGCUAGGUACGGUCGGAAAUCGUGCUGAUAGUGCAAUGGCAUAAGCGUGCUUAACUGCGAGACCGACAAGUCGAGCAGGUGCGAAAGCAGGUCAUAGUGAUCCGGUGGUUCUGUAUGGAAGGGCCAUCGCUCAACGGAUAAAAGGUACUCUGGGGAUAACAGGCUGAUACCGCCCAAGAGUUCAUAUCGACGGCGGUGUUUGGCACCUCGAUGUCGGCUCAUCUCAUCCUCGGGCUGUAGCCGGUCCCAAGGGUAUGGCUGUUCGCCAUUUAAAGAGGUACGUGAGCUGGGUUUAAAACGUCGUGAGACAGUUUGGUCCCUAUCUGCCGUGGGCGUUGGAUAUUUGAAGGGGGCUGCUCCUAGUACGAGAGGACCGGAGUGGACGAACCUCUGGUGUACCGGUUGUCACGCCAGUGGCAUCGCCGGGUAGCUAUGUUCGGAAGAGAUAACCGCUGAAAGCAUCUAAGCGGGAAACUCGCCUUAAGAUGAGAUAUCCCUGGGGACUAGAUCCCCUUGAAGGGUCGUUCGAGACCAGGACGUUGAUAGGUCAGGUGUGUAAGCGCAGUAAUGCGUUCAGCUAACUGAUACUAAUUGCCCGUAAGGCUUGAUCCU
rnacentral:rRNA from 1 species